CAGAAACAGAAGGUGCUGGGAGGAGGUCACCCACUCAAUCUCGGCAGCAUGUAGCACCAGUCAUAGGAGAGAAUGAAGCCCCAAGAGCAGACGCCUUCCCAGGUCUUCAGCCUAUCUGGUGGUGACAGAAAAGAUGGUAUUCAGAGAGAGGAGGCGCGGCGCCCAAGGAAGAGAAAGAACCAAUGGGAAAUCACAGCGCGUCCCUGCGACAACCAAUGAGCAGGCAGCAAUGGAAGGACGGGCAUUCCGGAAACCGGAAAUGAGCAUCUCCUGCAUCCUUCGCAACUGAAAUAGACAAGCACAUUGACCUGAACCCCUGUACUAGAUAUCAGGAGCUCCUCAAAGUUCUGCUUCCCCAGACCAAUUCCUUCACGGCAAGUUUAGAAGCAAUCUUGUCCAACACUUCUCAGAGGUCAGUCCCCAAAACCUUUUCAAGGGG